UCUGGUUGAUCCUGCCAGUAGUCAUAUGCUUGUCUCAAAGAUUAAGCCAUGCAUGUCUCAGUGCAAGCCAAAUUAAGAUGAAACCGCGAAUGGCUCAUUAAAUCAGUUAUUGUUUCUUAUAUCGUACCACAAGACCUGGAUAACUGUGGUAAUUCUAGAGCUAAUACAUGCAAACAGUGUCCCGACCAGAAAUGGAAGGGAUGCUUUUAUUAGAUCAAAACCAAUCGGCCGGUUCAUCCGGUCUGUUUGCUUUGGUGACUCUGGAUAACUUUAAGCUGAUCGCACGGUCUCCGCACCGGCGACGCAUCUUUCAAAUGUAUGCCUUAUCAACUGUCGAUGGUAGGUUCUGCGCCUACCAUGGUUGUAACGGGUAACGGGAAAUCAGGGUUCGAUUCCGGAGAGGGAGCCUGAGAAAUGGCUACCACAUCCAAGGAAGGAAGCAGGCGCGCAAAUUACCCACUCCCGGCACGGGGAGGUAGUGACGAAAAAUAACGAUACGGGACUCAUCCGAGGCCCCGUAAUCGGAAUGAGAACAUUUUCAACCCUUUAACGAGUAACCAUUGGAGGGCAAGUCUGGUGCCAGCAGCCACAGUAAUUCCAGCUCCAAUAGCCUAUAUUAAAGUUGUUGCGGUUAAAAAGCUCGUAGUUGGACUUGUGUCCCACGCUGUAGAUUUACCGUUCGUCGGUGUUUAACUGGCAUGCCCGUGCGGUCAUCCUGCCGGUGGAUGCGGUCGGCCGCGGGCCUCUGGUCUGUGCUUUGGCGGUCUGAUACAAUCCUACCGCGGUGCUCUUCACCGAGUGUCGAGGUGGGCCGGCACGUUUACUUUGAACAAAUUAGAGUGCUCAAAACAGGCAGUUGUUCGCCUGAAUAUUGUGUGCAUGGAAUAAUUGAAUAGGACCUCGGUUCUAUUUUGUUGGUUUUUUGAACUUGAUGUAAUGAUUAAUAUGGACAGACGGGGGCAUUCGUAUUGCGACGUUAGAGGUGAAAUCUUGGAUCUUCACAAGACGAACCUAAGCUAAAGCCUUUGCUAUGAGUCAUCAUUUCAUUAUUCAAAAACGAAAGUUUGUCGGCCGACUUUGACGGCGCGCAGCGCCCAAACUAUUUGAGGUAAAGAGCUCAAAUAUUUUUUCUGCACCAGAUCUGUCCUUCCUCUGUGCGACGGACUUCAAAAACCCACCCUCGAUUGCUUUUCCUGGGAGGAGAUAGUAUAACAAGGGGGGUGUGUUUUUCGGAAGUGCGGACCCCGAAAUCACGCGUUUUCCUGCGUAACUUUUGCGGUUUUUGAGGUAGGAUCAAACAUUUUGGAUUAGAGGUAGUACUCGGAGAUUCCUUCAAUGCUCUAUUUCCGAUUUUUGAAAAUUCCAUCGCAAGGGUCCGAAAUCGUGACCUCAAUUUAUUUUCAAAUGGGCGUAGCUCCCUUAAUUUUUGAGGUACGAAGACGACCUUCGGAUGAAAGGUGUAUGAACUUUGUGGCUUAUACCACUCUGAAGCACUUUGAGGGAAAAAAAUUUUUUUGUAUUCAAAUUAAUUUUUUUUGUGUUUUUUUACAUUUUCUGUUUUAUGGCUCUUCACCAGGCUUUUUGAGAUUUACGAUGUUUUGCUUCGGCAAGAGCGUACAAUGUCACUUUGUACACGCCUGUAUGGUAUUUAUUUUUAAAAGUUAUUUACAUUACGUUCGAUACCAGCACAGUUAAUUUUG
rnacentral:rRNA from 1 species